AAAAUAGAAAUACCGUGUGACUCAGGAGUUACACCAGGAGGUUUUUACCCAAGGGACCCAACAGAUACAGGUCGAAAGGGUACAAGCACCCCAAUGCUUAUAGCAACAUUAUCAAUAAUGGCCAAACUAUGGAAAAAGCCCAAAUGUCCAUCGACUGAUGAAUGGAUAAAGAAGAGGUGGGGUGUGUGUGUGUGCCACACACACAUACAGUGGAAUAUGACUCGGGCAUCAAAAUGAAUGAAAUCUUGCCAUUUGCAAUGAUAUGCAUAAACCUAGAGUGUGUUAUGCUAACAGAAAUAAGCAGAGGCAGA